UUACAAUCAAGACAAUAUAAAUAAUUGAUGAGCAAGUUCUUUUAACUCAGUGUCUUGUUUAAUUCGGACUUGUCAAUACAAAAUGAAAUCUUUGAAUUUGUUGGUUUUACUGUUUGUAGUAUUUUAUACUUGCAAAAUGGAAGUGGAAGCUAACAUCAUGCCACUUUGGCGAAUUCAGUGCAGCUACUACCAAUCUAAGAUGAUUGACGAUAUGCUAAGUUAUGGAUUUGAUCAUGAAGAUGAAUUGAUUAAACGCUUUUGUGCUGAACAUAGAAAAGGCGUCCAGUAAAUAUUCCUUUCAAAGCAAAAAAAUCGUCUCAUAAAGGUUGUAACUGUUUGUUUGUAACAUUGUUUUUGUAACAUAAUUUCACAUGUCACAUUUUUAUAAGCUGUCUAAUAUAUAUUUAUUACAUGAUUAGUAUUUUUUUUGUAAACUAACAUAUCAUUAAGUCUUUAUUUUCUUUGGUAGAGAAUGCCUUCGUCACGUUAUGUCCGCCAAUGCACCAUUUUUGUAGAUAAAGUAUAAAUAAAAAAAUACAUACCUAAUGCAGAAGGGAUUUGGUAAAUAAAAAUUAAGCAUGA